CUCCUUUUUUCUUUCAACUCAACUUUUGACUUUUGCAGAAAUAAGAAUCAAUUUAGAAUAGACCCUAAAGGAAGUGAUCAACGGUUGGAAGUAAGUGUGAUAUAUAAUUCAUGGCCGCAUAAGUAUGAUAAUUGUUGUAACUGCAGAGUUGUAACUGAAGGAAGGAUGGCCCUGAUCUGUGCUGAAAACUCAAUCAAGUAGGGUUAUCAUUUGCUAUACUGAAAUAAUAUAUGAUGAGAAGAUUCUUUUGAUCGGUUAUAGUAAAUGACUAAUGAUUCCACUUGUGAAACAAUAAUGGAAAAGUGGGCUAAGGUCGAUAUGAUUUUGGAAAGAGGCCAGGGAGAGAAGAAAGACCAGAGAGAGAGAGAGGGAAAAGGAAGGGGAUGUAUAUUAUUAUGAGAUUCCUUUGGCUUUGCUCUUAGUGAUCAUCAAUUCGUCUCGAUCAGAAGUUGGAAAAAAGAGGGAGCUGCUGCAUAGCAGUUCUGAGGAAACCCUUUUGUCUGAUUCCAGUUCCCCUUGGAUUUGAAAAAGCUAAGGAUGAGCAUUUCAGAGCGAUAUUAUAUGUAGCAUAAAAGGGGCCGUUGGAAUUGAAGGAGAUGACCAAACGAAUUGAAAAGGAAAAAGGGAUCAGAGACGUAUUCAUUUUGUUAUGUUAGUAUCCAUUUAUUUUGGACAAAACUGAAUUGCAAGGUUUGAUGGUUUUUGCUGUACAUGUCUUUCCUCCUUGAAGAAGUGAUUCCUCAGGUCAGGAUUGAUGAUGGCUUUUGAUAUCCUCGUCUUUCCUCCUCUCUGCCCAUAAAAAAUAAUCCAAACUUGAAGAAGUAAUUCGUUUCGUUUCUGUAUUCCCCCAUUUCCUGCUCAAUCUAUCCAAAGACUUUAAGAAGUAAUUUGCUCUUAGUUACAUAUCUAUCACAUCUAGAUUAUAUGCA